rnacentral:rRNA from 1 species
UACGGAAGGCAGCAGUGGGGAAUAUUGCACAAUGGGCGAAAGCCUGAUGCAGCUAUGCCGCGUGUAUGAAGAAGGCCUUAGGGUUGUAAAGUACUUUCAUCGGGGAGGAAAAACAAAACUAAUAAUUUUAUUUCUUGACGUUACCCGAAAAAGAAGCACCGGCUAACUCCGUGCCAGCAGCCGCGGUAAUACGGAGGGUGCUAGCGUUAAUCAGAAUUACUGGGCGUAAAGAGCACGUAGGUGGUUUUUUUAAGUCAGAUGUGAAAUCCCUGGGCUUAACCUGGAACUGCAUUUUGAAACUGAAAUACUAGAGUAUCGUAGAGGGAGGUAGAAUUCUAGGUGUAGCGGUGAAAUGCGUAGAUAUCUGGAGGAAUACCUGUGGCGAAAGCGGCCUCCUAAACGAAUACUGACACUGAGGUGCGAAAGCGUGGGGAGCAAACAGGGAUUAGAUCC